GGGCAGAUGGCCAAACGGUUAAGGCAGUUGCCUGCAGAGCAACAGACUGGGGGUUCGAAUCCCUCUCUGCCCU
rnacentral:tRNA from 1 species